CAGUCGCCACGGUAAUACGAAGGGUGCAAGCGUUAAUCGGAAUUACUGGGCGUAAAGCGCGCGUAGGUGGUUUGGUAAGAUGGAUGUGAAAUCCCCGGGCUCAACCUGGGAACUGCAUCCAUAACUGCCUGACUAGAGUACGGUAGAGGGUGGUGGAAUUUCCUGUGUAGCGGUGAAAUGCGUAGAUAUAGGAAGGAACACCAGUGGCGAAGGCGACCACCUGGACUGAUACUGACACUGAGGUGCGAAAGCGUGGGGAGCAAACAGGAUUAGAUACCCCCGUAGUCCCUGUCUCUUAUAU
rnacentral:rRNA from 1 species